UUAAGCCAUGCGAGUCGAGAGCUUAGCCUCGGCGUACCGCUUAGUAACACGUGGGUAACCUACCCUAUGCUGGGGGAUAAGCUCGGGAAACUGAGAAUAAUACCCCAUAGUCCACUACGCCUGGAACGGUGAGUGGAUGAAAGCUCCGGCGGCAUAGGAUGGGCCUGCGGCNUAUCAGGUUGUAGGGGGUGUAACGUACCCUCUAGCCAUCCACGCGUACGGGUGUUGGGAGACAUUGCCCGGAGAUGGAUUCUGAGACACGAAUCCAGACCCUACGGGGUGCAGCAGGCACAAAAACUUGGCAAUGCAAGAAAUCGUGACCAGGGAACUCCAAGUGGCUGGGGUAAGACCCAUUCUUUUCUUGACUCUUCAAAGGUCUUGGAAUAAGAGGUGGGUAAGGACGGUGCCAGCCGCCGCANUAAUACCGGCGCCUCAAGUGGUAGUCGCUUUUAUUGGGCCUAAAACGUCCGUAGCCGGUCUGGUACAUUCGUGGGUAAAUCAACUCGCUCAACGAGUUGAAUUCUGCGAGGACGGCCAGACUUGGGACCGGGAGAGGUGUGGGGUACUCUCAGGGUAGGGAUAAAAUCCUGUCAUCCUGAGAGGACCACCUGUUGCGAAGGCUCCA
rnacentral:rRNA from 1 species